rnacentral:rRNA from 1 species
UAGGGAAUCUUCCGCAAUGGGCGAAAGCCUGACGGAGCAACGCCGCGUGAGUGAUGAAGGUCUUCGGAUCGUAAAACUCUGUUAUUAGGGAAGAACAAAUGUGUAAGUAACUAUGCACGUCUUGACGGUACCUAAUCAGAAAGCCACGGCUAACUACGUGCCAGCAGCCGCGGUAAUACGUAGGUGGCAAGCGUUAUCCGGAAUUAUUGGGCGUAAAGCGCGCGUAGGCGGUUUUUUAAGUCUGAUGUGAAAGCCCACGGCUCAACCGUGGAGGGUCAUUGGAAACUGGAAAACUUGAGUGCAGAAGAGGAAAGUGGAAUUCCAUGUGUAGCGGUGAAAUACGCAGAGAUAUGGAGGAACACCAGUGGCGAAGGCGACUUUCUGGUCUGUAACUGACGCUGAUGUGCGAAAGCGUGGGGAUCAAAAAGG